rnacentral:rRNA from 1 species
UCGAGAAUUUUUCGCAAUGGGGGCAACCCUGACGGAGCGACGCCGCGUGGAGGAUGAAGGUCUUCGGAUUGUAAACUCCUGUCAUUGGUGAACAAGGUAUUCGCGUUAACUACGCGGGUGCUUGCUAGUAGCCGAAGAGGAAGGGACGGCUAACUCUGUGCCAGCAGCCGCGGUAAUACAGAGGUCCCGAGCGUUGUUCGGAUUCAUUGGGCGUAAAGGGUGCGUAGGCGGUUUGCCAAGUUUGAUGUGAAAUCCCGGGGCUCAACCCUGGAAUGGCAUUGAAUACUGGCGAACUAGAGAUCUGGAGAGGAAACUGGAAUUUACGGUGUAGCAGUGAAAUGCGUAGAGAUCGUAAGGAAGACCAGUGGCGAAGGCGAGUUUCUGGACAGAUACUGACGCUGAGGCACGAAGGCCAGGGGAGCAAACGG